GGUUUUAUGUUUUAUGCUUUUAAACAGCAGCACCACGUUCAUGUUUAAACAAAGAAGUUGAGAAAAAUGUCGAUUGAUUGAUUACAUGAAUCAUGUAAACAUGAACGUGGUGCUGCUGUUUAAAAGCACCAAACAUAAAACC
rnacentral:pre_miRNA from 1 species